rnacentral:rRNA from 1 species
AUACGGAGGGUCCGAGCGUUAAUCGGAAUUACUGGGCGUAAAGCGUACGUAGGUGGCUUGAUAAGUCGGAUGUGAAAGCCCUGGGCUCAACCUGGGAACUGCAUUCGAUACUGUCUGGCUAGAGUAUAGUAGAGGGAAGUGGAAUUCCGGGUGUAGCGGUGAAAUGCGUAGAUAUCCGGAGGAACACCAGUGGCGAAGGCGGCUUCCUGGACUAAUACUGACACUGAGGUACGAAAGCGUGGGGAGCAAACAGGAUUAGAUACCCCAGUAGUCC